UUUUCUUCUAUUUUUUUCUUUCUAUUUUUUCUUCUUUUUUUUUUCCUUUUUCCUUUUUCUUCUUUUUUUGGGCCGAACCUUAGCCUUCUUGCGCCGGUAAAGCUUCCUCCGUUACACGGCGCGGUGGUCGGCGCGCCUCUCUUCUCCUCCUCUAUCUUUUUCUUUCUUCUCUUCUUUCUUUUUGGUUGCUAUUUUUUGGUUGCUGUUUUUGUUUCUUUUUUUUUUUGUGUUUUUGCUUGUUGCUCUUCUUGCUUGUGUAGGGGCGACGGUGGUGGUGCUGUCACGGUGACGGUGCGACGGCGGUGGUUGCGAGAGCGCGACGGUGGUGGUAGGGGAGCAUCAUUGGCCUAGGGAGGCUGCUGGAGUAGCUGGAGGUGGGUGGAGCACGCUUGGCUGCCGACUGGCAGAUUUGACAUGUCCAGGAGGACCAAAUUGUAAAGGGUGUAAAGUUUUCAGGGUAAAAAUGUAAUUUUUAAAAAAUGGGGCUAAAAUGUAAUUUUUAGAAAUUUUAAGGGUCCGAAUGUAAUUUACAUUUUUUGUA